GAUGAACGCUGGCGGCGUGCCUAAUACAUGCAAGUCGAGCGAACAGACGAGGAGCUUGCUCCUCUGACGUUAGCGGCGGACGGGUGAGUAACACGUGGAUAACCUACCUAUAAGACUGGGAUAACUUCGGGAAACCGGAGCUAAUACCGGAUAAUAUAUUGAACCGCAUGGUUCAAUAGUGAAAGACGGUUUUGCUGUCACUUAUAGAUUGAUCCGCGCCGCAUUAGCUAGUUGGUAAGGUAACGGCUUACCAAGGCAACGAUGCGUAGCCGACCUGAGAGGGUGAUCCGCCACACUGGAACUGAGACACGGUACAGACUCCUACGGGAGGCAGCAGUAGGGAAUCUUCCGCAAUGGGCGAAAGCGUGACGGAGCAACGCCGCGUGAGUGAUGAAGGUCUUCGGAUCGUAAAACUCUGUUAUUAGGGAAGAACAAAUGUGUAUGUAACUAUGCACGUCUUGACGGUACCUAAUCAGAAAGCCACGGCUAACUACGUG
rnacentral:rRNA from 1 species